rfam:Daphnia magna strain Xinb3 scaffold02482, whole genome shotgun sequence.
GGAUGUGUGGCCCAAUGGAUAAGGCGCCUGCCUAUGGAGCAGGAGAUUCCAGGUUCGAUCCCUGGCAAGAUCA